rnacentral:rRNA from 1 species
AACGUAGGAGGCAAGCGUUAUCCGGAUUUACUGGGCGUAAAGCGCGUGCAGGCGGUUUGGUAAGUCGGACGUGAAAGCUCCUGGCUCAACUGGGAGAGGCCGUUCGAUACUACCGAACUAGAGGGCAGGAGAGGGAGGUGGAAUUCCGGGUGUAGCGGUGAAAUGCGUAGAUAUCCGGAGGAACACCAGUGGCGAAGGCGGCCUCCUGGUCUGCCCCUGACGCUCAGACGCGAAAGCUAGGGGAGCGAACGGG